UGGGGAAUUUUGGACAAUGGGCGCAAGCCUGAUCCAGCCAUGCCGCGUGUCUGAAGAAGGCCUUCGGGUUGUAAAGGACUUUUGUCAGGGAAGAAAAGGGCGGGGUUAAUACCCCUGUCUGAUGACGGUACCUGAAGAAUAAGCACCGGCUAACUACGUGCCAGCAGCCGCGGUAAUACGAAGGGUGCGAGCGUUAAUCGGAAUUACUGGGCGUAAAGCGGGCGCAGACGGUUACUUAAGCAGGAUGUGAAAUCCCCGGGCUCAACCUGGGAACUGCGUUCUGAACUGGGUGACUAGAGUGUGUCAGAGGGAGGUAGAAUUCCACGUGUAGCAGUGAAAUGCGUAGAGAUGUGGAGGAAUACCGAUGGCGAAGGCAGCCUCCUGGGAUAACACUGACGUUCAUGCCCGAAAGCGUGGGUAGCAAACA
rnacentral:rRNA from 1 species